rnacentral:rRNA from 1 species
CUACGGGUUGCAGCAGUCGAGAAGCUUCGGCAAUGGACGAAAGUCUGACCGAGCGACGCCGCGUGAGCGAUGAAGGCCCUAGUGGUCGUAAAGCUCUGUCAGGAGGGAAUAAAUGCCUGCGGCCAAUACCCGCAGGAGUUGAAGGUACCUCCUGAGGAAGCGCCGGCUAACUGACGUGCCAGCAGCCGCGGUAAUACGUAGGGCGCAAACGUUGUUCGGAUUUACUGGGUUUAAAGGGUUCGUAGGCGGGCUUGUAAGUCAGAGGUGAAAGCCAACGGCUCAACCGUUGAACUGCCUCUGAUACUGCAAGUCUUGAGUCCGUUAGGGGAUGGUGGAAUUCCUGGUGUAGCGGUGAAAUGCGUAAAUAUCAGGAGGAACACCGGUGGCGAAGGCGGCCAUCUGGGACGGUACUGACGCUGAGGAACGAAAGCAUGGGUAUCAAACGGGAUUAGAUACCCCCGUAGUC